CACAUCUAUAUAUAAGAACAACCAUACCAUUGUCCAUUGUAUUCCUAUAACUAAAUAUUGGCUUUUGCAAGUACAUGGACAAACAGCAGGAAGCUAACAGGUACGACUCUUACAUACAUAGUUGUUUUCUAAGUUCCUGCUAUGCAAUUAACGAUAUUCAUACCUAUUUUUCUACAGCAUGCUAUCUGAUGCAUCAAGAAAAGUUCUGCCACCUUCAGCAACACAUCCAACAAGAGAAGCACACAAAAGGUACAAAGAGGCUAUUACAGACAUGAAGAAUGCCACGAAACUACCAACAUUCAGCACCUCUUUUCAAGACGACGCGACAAAGAAUCAUUCAUUCAAGGCUGGCAAAUACAUCAUUGAGUACAUCAAGAAAGGAGUCCCACAUGUACAUUUUGUUUACACGGAAGAAGGCACCAGCGAUGACAACUCCAAGGAAAUUUAGCCACAUAUUAUGAAAUUUAUCUUAUGAAACUGUUAUGCAUCUAUGAAAUAAUCCUUUUUGUUGGUGAAUCCAUCAAAUAAUCAAGUCAAAUAAAUUCAUUACUUCUAUUUU
rnacentral:lncRNA from 1 species